GGGAAUAACAGUUAGAAAUGACUGCUAAAACCGCAUAACAUGGCGAUACCGCAUGAUAUUGCCAUCAAAUAUUUAUAGGUAUGAGAUGGGCCCGCGUCUGAUUAGCCAGUUGGCAGGGUAAUGGCCUACCAAAGCGACGAUCAGUAGCCGGCUUGAGAGAGUGACCGGCCACAUUGGGACUGAGACACGGCCCAAACUCCCACGGGAGGCAGCAGUGGGGGAUAUUGCACAAUGGGGGAGACCCUGAUGCAGCGACGCCGCGUGAGUGAAGAAGUAUUUCGGUAUGUAAAGCUCUAUCAGCAGGGAAGAAAACAAUGACAGUACCUGACUAAGAAGCCCCGGCUAACUACGUGCCAGCAGCCGCGGUAAUACGUAGGGGGCAAGCGUUAUCCGGAUUUACUGGGUGUAAAGGGAGCGUAGGCGGUGCGGCAAGUCAGAAGUGAAAGCCCGGGGCUCAACUCCGGGACUGCUUUUGAAACUGUCGGACUGGAGUGUCGGAGAGGUAAGCGGAAUUCCUAGUGUAGCGGUGAAAUGCGUAGAUAUUAGGAGGAACACCAGUGGCGAAGGCGGCUUACUGGACGAUCACUGACGCUGAGGCUCGAAAGCGUGGGGAGCAAACAGGAUUAGAUACCCUGGUAGUCCACGCCGUAAACGAUGAA
rnacentral:rRNA from 1 species